rnacentral:rRNA from 1 species
GUAGUCCACGCCGUAAACGGUGGGUACUAGGUGUGGGUUACCUUCCACGGGCUCGGGGCCGUAGCUAACGCAUUAAUUACCCCGCCGGGGGAGUCCGGCCGCAAGGUUAAAACUCAAAGGAAUUGACGGGGGCCCGCACAAGCGGGGAACCUUGUGGAUUAAUUCGAUGCAACGCGAAAAACCUUACCUGGGUUGGACUUACGCCGGAUACCUGCAGAGAUGUUGGCCCCCUUGUGGUCGGUGUACCAGUGGUGCAUGGGUGUCGUCAGCUCGUGUCGUGAGAUGUUGGGUUAAGUCCCGCAACGAGCGCAACCCUUGUCCUGUGUUGCCAGCAAGUAAAGUUGGGGACUCGCAGGAAACUGCCGGGGUCAACUCGGAAGGGGUGGGGACGACGUCAAGUCAUCAUGCCCCCCUAUGUCCAGGGCUUCACACAUGCUACAAUGUGCGGUACAGAGGGCUGUGAUAACGUGAGGUGGAGCGAAUCCCUUAAAGCCGGUCUCAGUUCCGAGAUUGGGUCUGCAACUCGACACUGUGAAGUUGGAGUCGCUAGUAAUCGCAGAUAUCGCAACGCUGCGGGUGAAUA